rnacentral:miRNA from 1 species
GCUUCUCCCCGGGCUCUGCCUCCUGUGCCUACUGAGCUGAAACACAGUUGGUUUUAGUGCACUGGCUCAGUUCAGCAGGAACAGGAGUCCAGCCCCUUGGGAGCCGGCA